GAACAUGAUACCGUCUCUUCUCCAAUUUAACUUGAGAAAGUAAAUGAGAAAGUGUGAUUCAAGCAUAUCCGAAACAGAAGGAGCAGGCUACAAUCAUUCUUAGUGAAGCAUCAACAGGUUAUGUUGAACAAGUUCUCCAACUUGCACCAGAUGCAUCGAUGCAUUUGGAACAUAAAAGACUGCAUAUCUGGUAAGUGAGAGAUAUGAAGAAAUGAUGACAUGUAAGAUACCAAUAGUUGAUAUCUGAUCAGGGUUACUGUUAAAGGUGAUAACUGUC